CCCAAUUCUAACAGCAUAAGAGAGGUAGUGACAAGAAAUAACAAUACAAGGCAAUUAAAAUGCUUUGUAAUUGGAAUGAUAGAAAUUUAAACACUUUUUAAAGUAUCAAUUGGAGGGCAAGUCUGGUGCCAGCAGCCGCGGUAAUUCCAGCUCCAAUAGCGUAUAUUAAAAUUGUUGCAGUUAAAAAGCUCGUAGUUGAAUUUCUGCUAAGAAUAACCGGUCUGCUUUUAAUAAAA
rnacentral:rRNA from 1 species